CCUACGGGAGGCAGCAGUGGGGAAUAUUGCACAAUGGGGGCAACCCUGAUGCAGCGACGCCGCGUGAGUGAAGAAGUACUUCGUUAUGUAAAGCUCUAUCAGCAGGGGAGAAAAUGACGGUAUCUGUGUAAGUAGCCCCGGCUAACUACGUGCCAGCAGCCGCGGGAAUACGUAGGGGGCAAGCGUUAUCCGGAUUUACUGGGUGUAAAGGGAGCGUAGACGGCAGUGCAAGUCUGGAGUGAAAGGCGGGGGCUCAACCCCCGGACUGCACUGGAAACUGUACGGCUGGAGUGCAGGAGAGGUAAGUGGAAUUCCUAGUGUAGCGGUGAAAUGCGUAGAUAUUAGGAGGAACACCAGUGGCGAAGGCGGCUUACUGGACUGUAACUGACGUUGAGGCUCGAAAGCGUGGGGAGCAAACAGGAUUAGAUACCCUAGUAGUC
rnacentral:rRNA from 1 species